CACUCCGCCAUGCUGCGUCAGGCUGUGGGGUCACUCCCCCAGUUUGUGUCAGGCCGUGGGACACACUGCCAUUUUUUGGGCUGCUUCCUUGCCUCCUUACACCUGUGUGUCCACACCAGCUGCAAGACAUGGUCCAGUAAUGCCUGAGUGUCUGCCUGACCCUGCUGGUGCAGCUGGCUUUUUCUGAAGCUGCCCUUUCAGGGCACUGUUCUCUGUGCAAAAGUCAAGCAAAAGAAGAAAUCUGGAGGUCCCUGACACUACCAGCACAGAAAAUACUUUCACACAAAUAACUUAGCUUACAGAUAACUAUUUAGAAGUGGCAAAAAGAAGUCCUCACCAGACCUGGCAGCUCUAAA